rnacentral:rRNA from 1 species
UACAGAGGGUGCAAGCGUUGUUCGGAAUCAUUGGGCGUAAAGGGCGCGUAGGCGGCCAGUGCAAGUCAGUUGUGAAAUCUCCGAGCUUAACUCGGAAAGGUCAACUGAUACUGCUCGGCUAGAGUGCGGAAGGGGCAACUGGAAUUCUUGGUGUAGCGGUGAAAUGCGUAGAUAUCAAGAGGAACACCUGCGGCGAAGGCGGGUUGCUGGGCCGACACUGACGCUGAUGCGCGAAAGCUAGGGGAGCGAACGGG